CUCUUCCUACGGGAGGCAGCAGUGAGGAAUAUUGGUCAAUGGGCUUACGCCUGAACCAGCCAAGUCGCGUGAGGGAAGACUGCCCUAUGGGUUGUAAACCUCUUUUGUCAGGGAGCAACGCCGGCUACGUGUAGCCGGACUGAGAGUACCUGCAGAAAAAGCAUCGGCUAACUCCGUGCCAGCAGCCGCGGUAAUACGGAGGAUGCGAGCGUUAUCCGGAUUUAUUGGGUUUCAAGAGUGCGUAGGCGGAAUGCCAAGUCAGCGGUAAAAACGCGGGGCUCAACCUCCCUCCGCCGU
rnacentral:rRNA from 1 species